rnacentral:tRNA from 3 species
GGAGAAUUACUCAAGAGGCUGAAGAGGACGGUUUGCUAAAUCGUUAGGUCGGGUAACUGGCGCGAGGGUUCGAAUCCCUCAUUCUCCG